GGGUUGUGAGGUUAAGCGACCAAGCGUACACGGUGGAUGCCCUGGCAGUCAGAGGCGAUGAAGGACGUGCUAAUCUGCGAUAAGCGCCGGUAAGGUGAUAUGAACCGUUAUAACCGGCGAUUUCCGAAUGGGGAAACCCAGUGUGAUUCGUCACACUAUCAUUAACUGAAUCCAUAGGUUAAUGAAGCGAACCGGGGGAACUGAAACAUCUAAGUACCCCGAGGAAAAGAAAUCAACCGAGAUUCCCCCAGUAGCGGCGAGCGAACGGGGAGGAGCCCAGAGCCUGAAUCAGCAUGUGUGUUAGUGGAAGCGUCUGGAAAGGCGCGCGAUACAGGGUGACAGCCCCGUACACAAAAGCGCAUAUGCUGUGAGCUCGAUGAGUAGGGCGGGACACGUGGUAUCCUGUCUGAAUAUGGGGGGACCAUCCUCCAAGGCUAAAUACUCCUGACUGACCGAUAGUGAACCAGUACCGUGAGGGAAAGGCGAAAAGAACCCCGGCGAGGGGAGUGAAACAGAACCUGAAACCGUGUACGUACAAGCAGUGGGAGCACAGGUUUACCUGUGUGACUGCGUACCUUUUGUAUAAUGGGUCAGCGACUUAUAUUCUGUAGCAAGGUUAACCGCAUAGGGGAGCCGAAGGGAAACCGAGUCUUAACCGGGCGUUAAGUUGCAGGGUAUAGACCCGAAACCCGGUGAUCUAGCCAUGGGCAGGUUGAAGGUUGGGUAACACUAACUGGAGGACCGAACCGACUAAUGUUGAAAAAUUAGCGGAUGACCUGUGGCUGGGGGUGAAAGGCCAAUCAAACCGGGAGAUAGCUGGUUCUCCCCGAAAGCUAUUUAGGUAGCGCCUCGUGAAUUCAUCUCCGGGGGUAGAGCACUGUUUCGGCUAGGGGGCCAUCCCGGCUUACCAACCCGAUGCAAACUGCGAAUACCGGAGAAUGUUAUCACGGGAGACACACGGCGGGUGCUAACGUCCGUCGUGAAGAGGGAAACAACCCAGACCGCCAGCUAAGGUCCCAAAGUCAUGGUUAAGUGGGAAACGAUGUGGGAAGGCCCAGACAGCCAGGAUGUUGGCUUAGAAGCAGCCAUCAUUUAAAGAAAGCGUAAUAGCUCACUGGUCGAGUCGGCCUGCGCGGAAGAUGUAACGGGGCUAAACCAUGCACCGAAGCUGCGGCAGCGACGCUUAUGCGUUGUUGGGUAGGGGAGCGUUCUGUAAGCCUGUGAAGGUGGCCUGUGAGGGUUGCUGGAGGUAUCAGAAGUGCGAAUGCUGACAUAAGUAACGAUAAAGCGGGUGAAAAGCCCGCUCGCCGGAAGACCAAGGGUUCCUGUCCAACGUUAAUCGGGGCAGGGUGAGUCGACCCCUAAGGCGAGGCCGAAAGGCGUAGUCGAUGGGAAACGGGUUAAUAUUCCCGUACUUGGUGUUACUGCGAAGGGGGGACGGAGAAGGCUAUGUUGGCCGGGCGACGGUUGUCCCGGUUUAAGCGUGUAGGCUGACUUUCCAGGCAAAUCCGGAGAGUCAAGGCUGAGGCGUGACGACGAGGCACCACGGUGCUGAAGCAACAAAUGCCCUGCUUCCAGGAAAAGCCUCUAAGCAUCAGGUAACAUCAAAUCGUACCCCAAACCGACACAGGUGGUCAGGUAGAGAAUACCAAGGCGCUUGAGAGAACUCGGGUGAAGGAACUAGGCAAAAUGGUGCCGUAACUUCGGGAGAAGGCACGCUGACACGUAGGUGAAGUGAUUUACUCAUGGAGCUGAAGUCAGUCGAAGAUACCAGCUGGCUGCAACUGUUUAUUAAAAACACAGCACUGUGCAAACACGAAAGUGGACGUAUACGGUGUGACGCCUGCCCGGUGCCGGAAGGUUAAUUGAUGGGGUCAGCGCAAGCGAAGCUCCUGAUCGAAGCCCCGGUAAACGGCGGCCGUAACUAUAACGGUCCUAAGGUAGCGAAAUUCCUUGUCGGGUAAGUUCCGACCUGCACGAAUGGCGUAAUGAUGGCCAGGCUGUCUCCACCCGAGACUCAGUGAAAUUGAACUCGCUGUGAAGAUGCAGUGUACCCGCGGCAAGACGGAAAGACCCCGUGAACCUUUACUAUAGCUUGACACUGAACAUUGAGCCUUGAUGUGUAGGAUAGGUGGGAGGCUUUGAAGCGUGGACGCCAGUCUGCGUGGAGCCAACCUUGAAAUACCACCCUUUAAUGUUUGAUGUUCUAACGUGGACCCGUAAUCCGGGUUGCGGACAGUGUCUGGUGGGUAGUUUGACUGGGGCGGUCUCCUCCUAAAGAGUAACGGAGGAGCACGAAGGUUGGCUAAUCCUGGUCGGACAUCAGGAGGUUAGUGCAAUGGCAUAAGCCAGCUUGACUGCGAGCGUGACGGCGCGAGCAGGUGCGAAAGCAGGUCAUAGUGAUCCGGUGGUUCUGAAUGGAAGGGCCAUCGCUCAACGGAUAAAAGGUACUCCGGGGAUAACAGGCUGAUACCGCCCAAGAGUUCAUAUCGACGGCGGUGUUUGGCACCUCGAUGUCGGCUCAUCACAUCCUGGGGCUGAAGUAGGUCCCAAGGGUAUGGCUGUUCGCCAUUUAAAGUGGUACGCGAGCUGGGUUUAGAACGUCGUGAGACAGUUCGGUCCCUAUCUGCCGUGGGCGCUGGAGAACUGAGGGGGGCUGCUCCUAGUACGAGAGGACCGGAGUGGACGCAUCACUGGUGUUCGGGUUGUCAUGCCAAUGGCACUGCCCGGUAGCUAAAUGCGGAAGAGAUAAGUGCUGAAAGCAUCUAAGCACGAAACUUGCCCCGAGAUGAGUUCUCCCUGAGACUUUGAGUCUCCUGAAGGAACGUUGAAGACGACGACGUUGAUAGGCCGGGUGUGUAAGCGCAGCGAUGCGUUGAGCUAACCGGUACUAAUGAACCGUGAGGCUUAACCUUACAACGCCGAAGCUGUU
rnacentral:rRNA from 1 species